ACUAUGAUUUAAAGCUUUAGAUGAUAAAAUAAAAAAAAGUGCAAAUUAUAUCUUACAGUACUAAAGAACAUGCGUAUUUGCUGCACAGAACCGGGCCUGAAUGGAACACCACUCAGUUCAAAAUUCCUAUAUGUAAACUCUGGGCAAAACCAUCUACCCUAAAAUUAAGGAUAUUAAAAGUGUAUACAAAUAUUUUUCUUUUGGAUGCAAUUAUAAUUUGGUGAAACACAACUCAACAAUACCAUGCAAUAUAAUUAUAUCAUGCCCACACUAAAUCAAAGAAGUGAGGGAGGAAUACACCUUUCCUGACUUUUUUGGUCCCCACCUGUCACGGGGAUUCAGCUUCUGACCAUUAGAACACACUUUUCCUGACUUUUUCGGUCCCCACCUCGACCUCGCCCAUCCCCCACCCACACGAGAGCUGCUGACAGUGAGUGGGCGGCAGCAUGUGCAGGUGCAGUAGAAGCAAGCAGGAGCACAAGCUGGCAGCAGCACAGACAGAAGGUGCUCCUACAGACACUAAUGGACGAGGAACACAUGGAAACGAAUGCUAGGCAGAGUGCAGGAUACACCAGGCUGAAGACACGCUUACAACGCCUAAGGGAGCAUCAUAAUACAUCUUUAUCGGGAACAUGGAAUCCGUAAAACACCAAAGCAAGGAAGUAAGCCUAGAUUCUGAGAGUUCACAUGAUGAGGUUGGUGAUGACCCAGAUGUACCACCCCUGAGGAGAACUAACAGCGUAUCUGAACCUUAAUAUCCAACAGAGGACAGAGAACAGCGGACCUCCGAUGAGCCUGGCAGUGUUGAACCUGCAGCCACAGGACCCUCAACGUCAAAAAGAAGAAAGGAAACUGAGCCUGACAGUUGGGAUCUUAAAACAGAAACCUCAAAGAAGAGGAGUUGGUCAUUGGCAGAGGUCCACGCAGUGGAAAAGACACUAAAAUGUGGUAAAGUACCAGGGAAGUCGGAGUGUGUUGCCUGUAUUAAGGCUUCACCAGAAGCACUUACAAAAUAGAUUUAUUUCUGUUUCCUUUCAUAGCAGUAGAGGCUACAAUGAUUUUAGCAGUGACUUGUCUGUCAAAGAUCCAUUAGUCAUAAUUGGCUGAACUGCAUCUGAUGUGUAGCUCGACUUCACGGUGGUACUAACAAUAUGCUCAUGCUACAAUAAAGUGUUCUAAAUACUUAACUUGCAAAAUGACAAUUUCUAUAUCAUGUUACUUAUUAAGUGUUGCGUAGAAUUAGUGAAGAAAACUUCUUUUCUUGCAUGCCUGAAUUAUAAAUGGCAGUAUAAUCUGAGCAUGGCGUCAGGGUUAUGUGCUCGCAAGCAAAUUAUA